GACGAACGCUGGCGGCGUGCUUAACACAUGCAAGUCGAACGGAAAGGCCCUGCUUUUGUGGGGUGCUCGAGUGGCGAACGGGUGAGUAACACGUGAGUAACCUGCCCUUGACUUUGGGAUAACUUCAGGAAACUGGGGCUAAUACCGGAUAGGAGCUCCUGAUGAAUGGUGGGGGUUGGAAAGUUUGGGUGGGUGGGGUGGGAGGGGGGGUUAUCAGCUUGUUGGUGGGGUAGUGGCUUACCAAGGCUUUGACGGGUAGCCGGCCUGAGAGGGUGACCGGCCACAUUGGGACUGAGAUACGGCCCAGACUCCUACCUUAUACACCAGUCUAUAAUAUUACACAAUUACCGCAAGCCUGAUGCAUCAACCCCGCGUGCGGGAUGACGGCCUUCGGGUUGUAAACCACUUUCUCCUUUUACUAAACUUAAGUAACUUUCAUUCAUAAAUAAUCACCGGCUAACUACCUG
rnacentral:rRNA from 1 species